rnacentral:rRNA from 1 species
AGUAAUGUCUGGGAAACUGCCUGAUGGAGGGGGAUAACUACUGGAAACGGUAGCUAAUACCGCAUAACGUCGCAAGACCAAAGAGGGGGACCUUCGGGCCUCUUGCCAUCGGAUGUGCCCAGAUGGGAUUAGCUAGUAGGUGGGGUAACGGCUCACCUAGGCGACGAUCCCUAGCUGGUCUGAGAGGAUGACCAGCCACACUGGAACUGAGACACGGUCCAGACUCCUACGGGAGGCAGCAGUGGGGAAUAUUGCACAAUGGGCGCAAGCCUGAUGCAGCCAUGCCGCGUGUAUGAAGAAGGCCUUCGGGUUGUAAAGUACUUUCAGCGGGGAGGAAGGCGACAGGGUUAAUAACCCUGUCGAUUGACGUUACCCGCAGAAGAAGCACCGGCUAACUCCGUGCCAGCAGCCGCGGUAAUACGGAGGGUGCAAGCGUUAAUCGGAAUUACUGGGCGUAAAGCGCACGCAGGCGGUCUGUCAAGUCGGAUGGAUCCCCGGUACCCCC